AACAGGAUUAGAUACCCUGGUAGUCACGCCCUAAACGAUGUCGACUAGGUGUUCGGUGAGGAGACUCAUUGAGUACCGCAGCUAACGCGUGAAGUCGACCGCCUGGGGAGUACGGUCGCAAGAUUAGAACUCAAAGGAAUUGACGGGGACCCGCACAAGCGGUGGAUGAUGUGGAUUAAUUCGAUGCAACGCGAAAAACCUUACCUACCCUUGACAUGUACGGAACCCUGCUGAGAGGUGGGGGUGCUCGAAAGAGAGCCGUAACACAGGUGCUGCAUGGCUGUCGUCAGCUCGUGUCGUGAGAUGUUGGGUUAAGUCCCGCAACGAGCGCAACCCUUGUCAUUAGUUGCUACGCAAGAGCACUCUAAUGAGACUGCCGGUGACAAACCGGAGGAAGGUGGGGAUGACGUCAAGUCCUCAUGGCCCUUAUGGGUAGGGCUUCACACGUCAUACAAUGGUCGGUACAGAGGGUUGCCAAGCCGCGAGGUGGAGCCAAUCCCAGAAAGCCGAUCGUAGUCCGGAUCGCAGUCUGCAACUCGACUGCGUGAAGUCGGAAUCGCUAGUAAUCGCGAAUCAGAAUGUCGCGGUGAAUACGUUCCCGGGCCUUGUACACACCGCCCGUCACACCAUGGGAGUGGGUUGCACCAGAAGUAGCUAGUCUAACCUUCGGGAGGACGGUUACCACGGUGUGAUUCAUGACUGGGGUGAAGUCGUAACAAGGUAACC
rnacentral:rRNA from 1 species